GGCUAGAGCAGUGAUGGUGGAUGUAACGGACGGGUUGGGGUUGGGGUCGCUGAUCCUUCCACUCUGCCCAUUGUCCAGGUAGGCUGCUUCGCCUCUCUCCACCCUCGCAAGGUAAGUUCGUUUAGGUAGGGCUUUUCUUUGCGUUAGCAACAAGCGAGUAAGACAGAGAUUUGGAAAGACCUAAGAGUUAUGCUAGAGGCGAUCAAGAAAUCGUGUUGAAACUCUCAACGCUUGAAGACACCUCUUUUCGAUUGCAACGCAAAAGGGAGCCAGUGACACAACAAACAACUCAAACAAGCAAAGUGCAAGACAACGGGCCAAGGAACUCUCAACGCGAAGGGAAACGCACUGAUGUGGACAACGCUGUGUGAAUACUAGCGAUCAACGAUACUUAGUUUCACGUUGUCAGGUUCGCGUGUGUUUGGAUUUGUUCUAAUUCCUUGUCAUGAAGAAGCCAAGUGACAUGCUGGUGCUGCUCAACGACGAUAAGAACUGAAAAACGCCAUGUCACAGCGUGUUCCAAGAAGAAAAAUGCUACUAGAUUGGAGAGAUUUUGUGUCAACGUUUUGGAGCUUUGAGUUGUGUUGUUGCUGUGCUCAACGCAAGAUCUGCGACAACUGUGAUCUUCGGAACUUAAAUCCAGCUGAAGUUCUACACGACAGUGGUCCGACCUCAAUGAAAACAGUCGCUGAUCCUUGACCGGCUCAGUCCACUCACCUCGCAAGGUAAGUUCUUUUAGGGCUUUUCUUUGUGUUAGCAAUAAGCGAGUAAGUCAACGAAACAAGAGAGGUUUGCUGGAGACAAGAAAGCGAAGCUGCUUGCAACGAGUUAAGAUGUAUUCUCUAUGAUCAACGAUAAAGAGAGGCUAGAGGCGAUCAAGAAUUCGUGUUGAAACUCUCAACGUUUGAAGACGCUCUUUCUUUUCGAUGCUAUGCUCAACGCAACAAAAGGGAGCCAGUGACACAGUCCAAGUUAAACUGAUAUGCUCGAUCAAACAACGCAAACAAGCUAAGUGCAAACAACGGUCCAAGGAACUCUCAACUCGAAGGGAAACUUAAUAAAACCAACGAUCGUUGGAAGUUGACAUACUUAGCUUCAUGUUGUCAGGUUUGUGUGUGUUUCAAUUUGUUCUAAUUUCUUGUCAUGAAAAAGACAAGUGACAUGUUGGUGCUGCUCAACCACGAUAAGAACUAAAAAACGCUGUAAAAUGCUACGAGAUUGGAGAGAAUCUGUGUCAACAUUUUGGAAAGAUUUUCAGCAAUGUUGCUGCUGUGCUCAACGCAAGACCUGCGAGCUGAGAAACAACGUUGGGCAUUUGCAAUCUCCAGAACUUCAAUCCAGUUGAAGACGUACAUGACAAUGGUCCAACCUCAAUGAAAACAACGAUCAUGAAAACUCUGGCUGUCUAACGAUAUGGAAGUCGAAGUUUAACAGGUUCAUGAGCUGCUUGUUCUAACCUAAAUGUUUGUUCAACGAACUAAGAGGCUUCAACCCCAGAACAACGUUCCAGGGCCAGCUAACGAUGGGUAGAAGGAAGUGUACGCUUUGGCAGUGGCAAAACGAGACAAUCUACACAAAGCACUCUGUGGUUUCCUUGAAAAGAAAUGAAUACAUUUACAAAGUU